GAUGAACGCUGGCGGCGUGCCUAAUACAUGCAAGUCGAGCGAACAGACGAGGAUCUUGCUCCUUUGACGUGAGCGGCGGACGGGUGAGUAACACGUGGGUAACCUACCUAUAAGACUGGGAUCACGUCGGGAAACCGGAUCUAAUACCGGAUAAUAUUUCGAACCGCAGGGUUCGAUAGUGAAAGAUGGCUUUGCUAUCACUUAUAGAGGGACCUACGCCGGAUUAGCUAGUUGGUAAGGUAACGGCUUACCAAGGCAACGAUCCGUAGCCGACCUGAGAGGAUGAUCGGCCACACUGGAACUGAGACACGGUCCAGACUCCUACGGGAGGCAGCAGUAGGGAAUCUUCCGCAAUGGGCGAAAGCCUGACGGAGCAACGCCGCGUGAGUGAUGAAGGUCUUCGGAUCGUAAAACUCUGUUAGUAGGGAAGAACAAAAGUGUAAGUAACUGUUCACGUCUUGACGGUACCUAAUCAGAAAGCCCCGGCUAACUACGUG
rnacentral:rRNA from 1 species